CUCUCGCACUAGCGCCCCGCACCUGUGGCGCCCCUGCUCCGCCCAGUCCCGCGGCCUCCUCGCCCCUAGUCCCCGGCGCUCCCCGCCCCUUCCCGUGGGAUCCGCCCCUCCGCCAGCCCCGCUGGCUUCCCCUCUCCGCCACCCCGGACUCAGAACCUCCCCUCCCCCGCCGGGGCCUGGGCGCGCCUGCCCUUCGCUCCCCGACCUCCUGCUGCAGCUCUGGGCCCCUCGGCCGCUCCCUCCCCUCCUCCCUUGCUCACCCCACGGUUGGCCGCGGAUCUCCAGCACGCCGCCCCAGUCCUCGGCGUCCCGCAGCGCCUGCCAGGGUCGCCGAGCCUCCCCUGCCUCCUGGCCGCCUCUGCAGUGCCGUCCUCCCGGGGCUGGCUCUCUCCCCAGGCCCCCGCUUUGGCCACCCAGGCACUUUCCGCCCUGAGCGUGGCAGCUGCUGCCGGGGGUCCUGGGACCGCGGGAUGGGAACUCCCACGCAGCGUCCCACAGGCUCCUGGCCGCCGCGAGCCCGCGCGACUCGCACGAGCAUGUCCACCCGCAGCGAGGGGCCGGUCACUGCUACGGAGCCCGCCAGAAGGCAAAGCCCCAGACAGCAAAUAGGGAGGCGGCUGGCACCCAGGGAGGCCGAGGCGGGAGGAUCGCUGGAGCCCAGGAGUUCGAGACCUGCCUUGGCAACAUAAAAACUCUGCUUCACAAACACAGGAUAUUGGAAAUGGAAGUGGGCUUUUCAGUGCUUUGGGAACAAUCACAGGAGAUUCUGCCUUGGCUGUAAUCCAGAACGUAUGGAGAUUUGAAGUUGUCGCAAACAUACUUUGAAGGCCACCAGAUGCAGCUGUACAAUUGAAGUCCAUCAGCUCACUUGCCUCAAUAAAGCCUGCCACUGCAUGCAGCUUGUCACUUGCCACUCACAGAUAGGGUUUUGAUAUGACUCUGCAAGCAAUUGAUUUAUGAUGGUCUCUGUGCUGUCAAACCUCUCUGCUAAUGUUCAUCUGUAUUUGCAGCCACUCCCAAGUGCUAGCAUCGCC
rnacentral:lncRNA from 1 species